rnacentral:rRNA from 1 species
AUGGAUCCCUUCGUUUCUGACACCACCGGUCCUGUGACAACCAGCCCCAAAACUCAGGGACAAGAGGAAGAGGGCCUUGGAACCGACCCCUCCUUCAAUUCCCUUACCACUGAGUCCGUCGGCGCGAGCCCCGACGCGGAGGGCGGCGCCGCCGCCACACAGGCGGACGAUGAGGCGGAGAGUGGGGCGCCCGGCUCCCCUUCCCCGCCCCGACUGCCGCCGAGCAUCUCCGCGCGCCCGCGAUCCUCUCAGGGCCGCGUGCUUCCGGAGGCUGGCCGCCUCCUGCGAAGCCCGCCGACUCCGCGAGGCGGCGCUCCUCCGUGCGUCUAAACCGCCCGCGGAGAAGGCCGAGGACCCCGACGAGCCAAUCUGGCCACCAAGAAGCCGCUAUUGGAGGCGCUUCGUGGAACUAAAAACUAUGGGGUCCAGGCCGGCUAAUCCUGUGCCCAACCCUGAUGAGAGUUCAUUAUCUCAUAUCAAGAGCCAAGAUAUGUUAGCUGACAAGGUUGUGGACCAAUGGGUGACAGUGACACUGAAAACUCCUCUGGAAGUGCAUCAUAUCAAGUUGUUCCUUACAAGAAUGUCCAGGGAGAAAACAACUUACCUGUGCUGUCUAAAAAAAGAAAAUUCAUUAUCAGUACAUAUUCUGUGCAAUGUAGUACUUGCCAGAAAUGGAGAGUUGUACCAUCCAAACUGAAAUAUGAGCAAACCCGAGAGAAUAUUAUACAAGUUCCUUUUUCUUGCAAAUAUGUCCAUGGGUGGAAGCCACAAGUUACAUGCCAUGAUCCAACUGAUAUAUCUGAGGAUAAUGGCAUGGCAUGGGCAAUUGAUAUCCCAUGCAUCCCUCAGACCCCUCUUGGGUGGGAAAGGAAUAUUACUCUAAGGAAUGAACAGAGCACGAGAUUCGCUGAUGUGUACUAUAUCUCUCCCGCAGGCAGAAAAGUAAGAUCCAUGAAAGAUGUCGAAAGGUAUCUUGAAGACAACCCAGACUAUGCUGCCCGCUUACAGUUAUCUCAGUUUUCGUUCAGGGUACCUAAACCUCCAAAUUGCCCUCGUCAGUCAGACCUUAUUGAACCAACUGAAGUGCCACCUCCGGUUCACGAGGAUCCCGUGCACAACUACAUGCCGGUCCCUCAUGGAGAAGCCAAUCAUUUAACUCAUAUACCAGUUAUACUAGCUCUACAAGUACCAGUGAUGCUCUCCAAAAAGAGAAAACUAAACCAGUGAUGCUCUCCAGAAAGAAAGAAAAAUGCUCUAUCAGUGAUGUUCAAACUUCAAACUUGAAAUGUGCUAUUUUGCUGCAUUAUCUUACUGUUAAUGUUCUACCUUAGCUAAGCUCGCUCCCCUUGUGCCGUACUUUGCUCCAGCUUGGCUGGAACUGAGAAAGUUUUUGGGACAUCGACAUCAACAGAGGAAUGUUGUUGCAGAAAGCUAUUGAAACUGCCACAUUGCUUUUACCUCACUCUGUUCGUGUGCUGUGAAUGCCUAUAACUUAAAGUUUAUGCGUGUUGCACAUCAUAAUCUCCUGUAUAAGGUACAAUCUUUUUUAUUGAGAUCAAUGGGUAUUGG